rnacentral:rRNA from 1 species
UACGUAGGGUGCAAGCGUUAAUCGGAAUUACUGGGCGUAAAGCGUGCGCAGGCGGCUUUGCAAGACAGAUGUGAAAUCCCCGGGCUUAACCUGGGAACUGCAUUUGUGACUGCAUGGCUGGGGUGUGGCAGAGGAAGGUGGAAUUCCACGUGUAGCGGUGAAAUGCGUAGAGAUGUGGAGGAAUACCAAUGGCGAAGGCAGCCUUCUGGGCCAACACUGACGCUCAUGCACGAAAGCGUGGGGAGCAAACAGG